GUGGGUAUAGCUCAGUGGUAGAGUGCAUGCCUAGCAUGCACAAGGUCCUGGGUUCAAUCCUUGGUACCUCCA
rnacentral:tRNA from 1 species